rnacentral:tRNA from 1 species
AAGGAUUUAAGUUAUUUAAACUUUUAACCUUCAAAGUUAACAAUAGAUUUGGUCUAAGCCUUA